GUGUUCGCUUUGGCAGCACGCAUUCCAAAACUGGAAUGAUGCAGAGAAGAUUAGCUCAGCCCCUGUGCAGGGAUGGUACACCUAUUCACACACACACACACACACACA